rnacentral:tRNA from 2 species
GGGAAAAUAAACUAAGUAAGUUGUUGGGCUCAUGACCCGAAUAUAGAUUCUUCUUUUUCCUU